AGGAUUAUAGUUUAAAUAAAAACAUUUGAUUUGCAUUCAAAAAAUAUUAUUUUAUUAUAAUUUAUCUUA
rnacentral:tRNA from 1 species